UUCUGUUUUUAAUGACAGAUUGAUAGCUCUUUCUCAAUUCCGUGGGCGGUGGUGCAUGGCCGUUCUUAGUUGGUGGAGUAAUUUGUCUGGUUAAUUCCGAUAACGAAUGAGACUCUGGCAUGCUAAAUAGUUAUGCGACCCCCAAGCGGUCGGCAUCACCUGCUAUGGAAUAUACAUGGAGCUACCCACCAGGGGCAAAGAAAGAUGGCCAAGCUUUUGCAGGAAGCCAGCCUGAGAAUCCACAAGAGCCAGCUGAUUGAGGAUAUGGUUGCAGGGUGCAAGGCCUGCAGAUUUAUGGAUGCUAGCGGCCAUCCUGGAACUCCUGGGGUGCGUGAGAGGGGAACCAGACAACACACCUACUAGGAGAUAGACUUUGCUGUGGUAGAACUGGGAAAAUAUGUGUAUAAAUAUAUAAUGGUGUUUGUAGAUACCUUUUCAGGAUGGACUGGGGCAUUCCCGACCAAGAGGGAGAUGGCCCAGACAGUGGUGAGAAAACUACUCAAGGAGGUUUUUCCCAGGUUUGUAAUGCCCAU
rnacentral:ncRNA from 1 species